rnacentral:tRNA from 1 species
GGUAAGGUGGCUGAGUAGGCGGUAGACUGUAAAUCUAACCACGAGAGAUCUCCUCUCCCUUAUCA